AUUGAACGCUGGCGGCAGGCCUAACACAUGCAAGUCGAGCGGAUGAAGGGAGCUUGCUCCUGGAUUCAGCGGCGGACGGGUGAGUAAUGCCUAGGAAUCUGCCUGGUAGUGGGGGAUAACGUCCGGAAACGGGCACUAAUACCGCAUACGUCCUGAGGGAGAAAGUGGGGGAUCUUCGGACCUCACGCUAUCAGAUGAGCCUAGGUCGGAUUAGCUAGUUGGUGGGGUAAAGGCCUACCAAGGCGACGAUCCGUAACUGGUCUGAGAGGAUGAUCAGUCACACUGGAACUGAGACACGGUCCAGACUCCUACGGGAGGCAGCAGUGGGGAAUAUUGGACAAUGGGCGAAAGCCUGAUCCAGCAAUGCCGCGUGUGUGAAGAAGGUCUUCGGAUUGUAAAGCACUUUAGCUUGGGAGGAAGGGCAGUAGGUUAAUACCUUGCUGUAUUGACGUUACCAACAGAAUAAGCACCGGCUAACUUCAUG
rnacentral:rRNA from 1 species